rnacentral:tRNA from 1 species
AGGCUGAGUGGCAGAGUGGUUAUGCAGCGGACUGCAACUCCGUGUACAUCGGUUCGAUUCGUUCUCAGUAUCCCA